UACGGAGGGAGCUAGCGUUGUUCGGAAUUACUGGGCGUAAAGCGCGCGUAGGCGGCUUUGUAAGUUAGAGGUGAAAGCCCGGAGCUCAACUCCGGAACUGCCUUUAAAAACUGCAUCGCUUGAAUCCAGGAGAGGUGAGUGGAAUUCCGAGUGUAGAGGUGAAAUUCGUAGAUAUUCGGAAGAACACCAGUGGCGAAGGGCGGCUCACUGGACUGGUAUUGACGCUGAGG
rnacentral:rRNA from 1 species